AGGUAAGGAAACUCCGCUAAGGGCUCUCACAUCCUGUGAGAAACGCCCAGUACCUUCAUCCUGAAGG
rnacentral:sRNA from 10 species